AGACCCGAAACCCGGUGAUCUAGCCAUGGGCAGGUUGAAGGUUGGGUAACACUAACUGGAGGACCGAACCGACUAAUGUUGAAAAAUUAGCGGAUGACCUGUGGCUGGGGGUGAAAGGCCAAUCAAACCGGGAGAUAGCUGGUUCUCCCCGAAAGCUAUUUAGGUAGCGCCUCGUGAAUUCAUCUCCGGGGGUAGAGCACUGUUUCGGCUAGGGGGCCAUCCCGGCUUACCAACCCGAUGCAAACUGCGAAUACCGGAGAAUGUUAUCACGGGAGACACACGGCGGGUGCUAACGUCCGUCGUGAAGAGGGAAACAACCCAGACCGCCAGCUAAGGUCCCAAAGUCAUGGUUAAGUGGGAAACGAUGUGGGAAGGCCCAGACAGCCAGGAUGUUGGCUUAGAAGCAGCCAUCAUUUAAAGAAAGCGUAAUAGCUCACUGGUCGAGUCGGCCUGCGCGGAAGAUGUAACGGGGCUAAACCAUGCACCGAAGCUGCGGCAGCGACACUGUGUGUUGUUGGGUAGGGGAGCGUUCUGUAAGCCUGUGAAGGUGUGUCGUGAGGCA
rnacentral:rRNA from 3 species